rnacentral:other from 1 species
AUGUUCCUGAGGUGUUAGCCAGUUUUCUAUUUUUACCCACAUUUCACAAAACGGAACCCGGGUCGAGCAGUCUAUGUCAUGCCCCCGCGCUUAUGCGUGCCAGGGGACGGCAGAUGACGGCAGCAGGGUACCGGCCUGCUUAACAUAGCGGGUGAAAAAAUAGAGGGCAGCGGCAUUUCGGGGCAUUC